CAGGGAUUCCCCUAGUAACGGCGAGUGAAGCGGGAACAGCUCAAAUUUGAAAUCUGGCCCUUGGGUCCGAGUUGUAAUUUGCAGAGGAUGCUUUUGGUGCGGUGCCUUCCGAGUUCCCUGGAACGGGACGCCUUAGAGGGUGAGAGCCCCGUACGGUUGGCCACCAAGCCUGUGUAAAGCUCCUUCGACGAGUCGAGUAGUUUGGGAAUGCUGCUCAAAAUGGGAGGUAUAUUUCUUCUAAAGCUAAAUACUGGCCAGAGACCGAUAGCGCACAAGUAGAGUGAUCGAAAGAUGAAAAGCACUUUGAAAAGAGGGUUAAAUAGCACGUGAAAUUGUUGAAAGGGAAGGAUUUAUGACCAGACUUUUUCUAGGGGGAUCAUCCGGUGUUCUCACCGGUGCACUUCCCCUAGUUGAGGCCAGCAUCGGUUUCUGUCGGGGGAUAAAAGCUUCGGGAAUGUGGCUCCCUCCGGGGAGUGUUAUAGCCCGUUGCAUAAUACCCUGACGGGGACCGAGGUUCGCGCAUUGCAAGGAUGCUGGCGUAAUGGUUAUUAAUCACCCGUCUUGAAACACGGACCAAGGAGUCGAACAUUUGUGCGAGUGUUUGGGUGUUAAACCCUCACGCGUAAUGAAAGUGAACGGAGGUGAGAGCCCUUCGGGGUGCAUCAUCGACCGAUCCUGAUGUCUUCGGAUGGAUUUGAGUAAGAGCAUAACUGUUCGGACCCGAAAGAUGGUGAACUAUGCGUGGAUAGGGUGAAGCCAGAGGAAACUCUGGUGGAGGCUCGCAGCGGUUCUGACGUGCAAAUCGAUCGUCAAAUCUGCGCAUGGGGGCGAAAGACUAAUCGAACCAUCUAG
rnacentral:rRNA from 2 species